CUCCGGGGCACUGAGAGACCAGGGGAAAAAAAACUAAAGGCUUCCCCUUUAGUCUUCAGUUUCACCAGGGAAAUACCUGGCAAGUGAUCCACUAGCCAGAUGACAUACCAUGGUUCCUACGAAUCCUCCAUCUGCCAGAAAUUAGAGUACUGAAUUGGAUAAUGGAAAAUUCGAAUGUGCUCUGUAGAGGAACAGCUAGGAAAGUAGAGGACAAGGAGGCUUCUGCUACCCUGUCAUAGUGGCCGUGCCCCCUGUAGGCUUCUGAUAUCAUACACAAUGUCCUGGGCCCUCCUGACUCUUACCCAUUAGCCUGCCAACUAGGGGGAUUGUUUUGGGGUGACUCGGAUGGGAUCAGUGGGAUCGGUGGUUGGGUCCCAAGCAGUGGAGACAUGCUGCUGUCACCUUUUUCCAAAGUUGUGGGAAUAUGUUGACCCCACAGUUGAUGAGUUCACUUUCAUCCGGACUACUCAAGAGUCGCUGGCUUGCCUUGGCUGGGGUGGUGGUCCAGAUAUAUUGCAGCUGCUUCAAUAUGCCUUAUGAUGGAUCCCACAUGCCCUGAGUGGCCCUACCGCACACAAUUGAUACAUCAGUGGCCAUUUUAUCCUUAUGGUCAUGCGUGGG